rnacentral:rRNA from 1 species
CAAUAGCGUAUAUUAAAGUUGUUGCAGUUAAAAAGCUCGUAGUUGGAUUUCUGGUAGGAGCGACCGUGCCGAACUUGAUUGUUCGAGUAUUGUGUUGUCUUCAGCCAUCCUCGUGGAGAACUUUUCUAACAUUAACUUGUUGGGAUUGGGACCCGCGUCGUUUACUGUGAAAAAAUUAGAGUGUUUAAAGCAGGCAUUAGCUUGAAUACAUUAGCAUGGAAUAAUAAGAUAGGACUUUGGUACUAUUUUGUUGGUUUGCAUACCAAAUUAAUGAUCAACAGGAACAGUUUGAGGAUAUUCGUAUGAACAUGUCAGAGGUGAAAUUCUUGGAUUCUGAUCAGACGAACUACUGCGAAAGCAUUUAUCAAGGAUGUUUUCAUUAA